rnacentral:rRNA from 1 species
GUCUUAUUGAUUAUAAUUUUAAGUCUAAUCUGCCCAGUGAUUUAUUAAAUGGCUGCAGUAUUUUAACUGUACAAAGGUAGCAUAAUAAUUAGUUUCUUAAUUAGAAACUGGAAUGAAAGAUUGAACGAGGCAAUAACUGUCUUAAUUUGAAUUUAAGAAUUUUAUUUUUAAGUUAAAAAGCUUAAAUUUUUUUAAAAGACGAGAAGACCCUAUAGAAUUUUAUAUUAUUAUUAUAUUUAAAUUUUAGUAUAUAAAUUUUAAAUUUUUUUAAAGAUAUUUAGUUGGGGUGAUUGGAAAAUUUAUUUAACUUUUUUUAUUAUAAGUCAUUUAUUUAUGUUUUUUUGAUCCAAAAUUUUUGAUUAUAAGAUUAAAUUACCUUAGGGAUAACAGCGUAAUUUUUUUAGAGAGUUCUUAUCGAUAAAAGAGAUUGCGACCUCGAUGUUGGAUUAAAGUUAAUUUUUAAUGUAGAAGUUAAGAUAUUAGGUCUGUUCGACCUUUAAAACUUUACAUGAUCUGAGUUUAAAUCGGCGUGAGCCAGGUUGGAUUCUAUCUUUAAUAAGUUUUAAUAUUUUUA